UACGUAGGGGGCAAGCGUUGUCCGGAAUCAUUGGGCGUAAAGAGCUCGUAGGCGGUUUGUCGCGUCUGCCGUGAAAGUCCGGGGCUCAACUCCGGAUCUGCGGUGGGUACGGGCAGACUAGAGUGAUGUAGGGGAGACUGGAAUUCCUGGUGUAGCGGUGAAAUGCGCAGAUAUCAGGAGGAACACCGAUGGCGAAGGCAGGUCUCUGGGCAUUAACUGACGCUGAGGAGCGAAAGCAUGGGGAGCGAACAGG
rnacentral:rRNA from 1 species